GGGUUGUGUUUAGUCAGAAAUUAAAUUUUCGUCGAUAGUGCGAUCAUUUUUAUUUAGUUUUUCGACGUUAUCAAUCAAAUUGGUUUUUUUUCAAAAUUAAACCUAUAAGGCUUGGUGAAAAUUUCGAUUCAGAAUAUAUAUAUAUUUUUAAACAUACCAUUCCUCGCGCCCUCCCCUUUGAAGUUAAAUUGUCGUUCCCUACGGCAGCUGAUGCGCUC
rnacentral:lncRNA from 1 species